UCAAAACCAAUAGUAAAUAAUCAUCAAAUACCCUCUCCAGCUCUUGAAGUUCCUGCUUGCUCCUGCUGGUCCACCAUCUCAGUGUCAAGGUCCCCUCCAGCUCCCCUUGCACCUUGCAGUGUGUGUCU